rnacentral:misc_RNA from 1 species
UCCGGUUUGUCACCGGAUAGCGUGGGAUGUCAAGCCCAGGUAAGGUUUUUCGCGUUGCAUCGAAUUAAACCACAGACUCCACCGCUUGUGCGGGCCCCCGUCAAUUUCUUUGAGUUUUAAUCUUGCGACCGUAAUCCCCAGGCGGAGUACUUAAUGCGUUAGCGACGACACCGAGAGGGUAAGAACUCCCGACAUCUAGUACUCAUCGUUUACGGCGUGGACUAC